rnacentral:snRNA from 1 species
GUGCUCAUUUCAGCAGCCCAUGUACUAAAAUUGAAAUGACAGAGAAGAUUAGCAUGGCCCCUGUGCAAGGAUGACACACAAAUUCGCAAAGCAUUCUAUAUUUUU